AGUGAACACGAUUAAGUGACCAAAAUGACCAGCUAACAGGUUGUUUUAUUACAAAGCGAUUCACGCUGAAACGAAGCUGCAAAAAAGAGUUUGCCGCCAGCAGGGGUCGAACCUGCGACCUUGGGCUUAUUAGACCCACGCUCUAACCGACUGAGCUAUGGCGGCCAACACAUGUUCAGGAGCCCGGUGCCUACGAGACAAAAUGGUUGAAAAUGAAAGA
ensembl:ncRNA T09B4.19 ncRNA